ACAGUCAACACUACAGACAUUCAAUUCCACAUUACAACUUGGUAUGAAAUACAGACAUUACUACGCUAGUAGUGAAUUAAAUAUGGUCUACAAUUUGAUGUGUUCCCUUAUUUCUUUCCAUCAGUGUAUCUUUGCUCAUUGGAUACUUGCAGAUUUUAAACAAUGCCAUAUCAUUCUGGCACAGACGUUGAUCCAUCAGGGUUAUGACGUCCACGGAUUCCUGAGGACAUUCAAAACAGUUUUACGAUAGACAUUUGGAGACUUAUAUCUACUAAAUACGAUGCAUAACUGACCAAAAUGAUGACUGAUGCUAUUCCAUAUUUUAAAUUUAUUGAUGCUUCUUCAUCUCUUUGACGGGUUUUAUCUCAAGCUUAUUUGCAAUGCCAUCAUCAUUUCAUCUGUACAAAGUUGUGUCUGCUUUAUAAAGCCAGGUGCAAAUGUGGGGUCAUCUAGUCAGUUAGCUCAUGGUGUAAGACGUGAGUGUAUUAUGAGUCUAAAUUCAAAUUAAAUAGAUUGAAUUAACAUUUUUGAAAUAAUGUCCUUAUAAACGUUAAAACUUGGAUUAUGAUGUUAUGUAACGAGUUCAGUUUUUGCUAAAAACAACAACAGGUGAGUCAUCAUUUGAAAUAAUGUCCUUAUAAACGUUAGAACUUGAAUUAUGACGUUAUGUAAAGAGUUAAGUUUUUGCUAAAAAAAAAACUGAGUCCCCACUCCCACAACUCUCCACACAUGCUUGGAAAGUUUUUGACUCCAGGUUUUCUCCGGGGGGGAGAAUGUAAUAUCUUAAACGUGCUUUGUCGUAGUUGCAUAAUGGCAGCUUCCUGUCAAAAUUAUUUAUUAACUUCUGCUUUAAAACGUAAACAUUACACCUUCCUCAAUAUCCCCAUAAACAUUACUGUCAAAUAGUUUAAUUUAGUAGUAAAAAAAAGUUUACUGGAAAAUCCUAAGUGGAUGACUUGCAGAAUUGCAUGUGUUCAGUUGAGCCAAAGUUUGCCAGUUGCAACACACAUUCUCUGAAAAACCUGAGGUUAAACCGUAAUUCAUUCAUUCAUUCUGACAAACCUGUCUAGAUGUCAACAGUCAACGUGCCAAUGUUUGUGGAUUUGUAUAUUUCAUAAGAUUUGUUAUGAAGUAAAAUGUCUGAAUUCUAUAGUCCGUGUCAUCCUACAAAUACGUUGGAGGGGGGUUGUAAAUAAUUUCAGUUUGGUUUGACGUAAGAAGAAAAGUAAGUGUUUUGGAAAUGACAAACAAAAAAAAGAACACUAUUUUUAUGUGUAAUUUAGAAAACAAUCUGUUAAGAAAUAAAUCAUAUGAGUUAUACAUGUAGUGGUACUGGCUCCCAUUUUUGUAGGGAAGGGGGGCAAACAUGCUUUUUCCCCGAAUGUAAUGAAAAUGCUGGCUACCAAACAACUACGUGUAUAUAGGGUUGUAAACGAAUCACGACACAUUUUUACAUGGAUUACAACUAAUUUUAAGGGUAGAAUGAUGUGUUAAAAGGUCUCAGGUUAGCACAUUUUGCCCGAAUAUCUCUAUUAUUUUUGCCUGAUAUUAAGGUAUUUUUCCAGUACUGGUUUGGAAGGGGGGGGGGGGGGGGGGACUAUAGUUGUACGUUUUUCACCAUUGUUUCAUUUUUAUAAAUUGUUUAGUGUUUUUCACCUCACCAAAUCCCCAAACACAAAUAAAAUUGGCAAAAGUCUUUUGAUUAAUAAA